GGGGCUAGGAACUAGGUAAAAAUUGGCAUGGCCGACCAUAGCUAGAAGAAAAUAUACAAAUAGGAUAAAAAUAUUAAUAGUUUAUUCAGUGGUUAAUAAAUAAACAUCCCUAUUUUAAAGUUAAAACAGUGAUGGCAUUUAUAGUAGCAUAAUGUAAUACAGAAGAAAGAAACUCAUGAUUCUAGAAAUCUACUUAUUUGAUCAAGUUGUAAUGUGAUAAUGUAGUGAGAACUUCUAAUCGUAUUUUCAUAUUUGUGUUCAGUGACUGAUUAAAAUGUCCUUCUUCAAUAAUAUAAAAAAGGUCCUCCACUUUGGCAACGAUGCGAAGAAGAAAAAAGUGUAUAACAAUGUGCGCAUGGAGUGUGAUCCAGAGGAGUUUUGGGACAUGAUAGGGGAAUUGGGCGACGGGGCAUAUGGAAAAGUGUACAAGGCUCAACAUAAGCAUACUGGUCAGCUCGCAGCUGCCAAGAUGUGUCGGUUGGAUGGGGAAGACGACUUGUCCGAUUUCAUGAUAGAAAUCGACAUUUUGUCCGAAAUCAAACAUACAAAUAUAGUGGAAUUGCACGAGGCGUUCCAGAAGGAGCAGCAGUUGUGGUUGCUCAUCGAGUACUGUGAUGGAGGCGCGCUGGACAGUAUCAUGACUGAAUUAGAGAAGCCCCUCAACGAACUGCAGAUCGCGUAUGUGUGCCAAAAUAUGUGUAAGGGACUGCAAUUUUUACAUAAGUCGCACGUUAUCCACAGAGAUUUAAAGGCUGGUAAUGUUUUACUCACCAUGGCUGGAGGAGUCAAAUUAGCUGACUUUGGCGUUUCGGCCAAAAACAAGAAUACGCUUCAGAAGCACGACACGUUCAUCGGCACCCCCUACUGGAUGGCUCCAGAAGUAGUGUUAUGUGAAACGUUUCGUGACAAUCCCUAUGACUAUAAGGUAGAUAUCUGGUCGAUGGGUAUCACGCUCAUCGAGUUUGCUCAAAUGGAGCCGCCCAAUCACGAGAUGUCGCCCAUGAGGGUUCUACUUAAGAUACAGAAAUCAGAUCCACCCAAACUCGAACAGCCUUCCAAAUGGUCGAAAGAAUUUAAUGACUUUCUGAUUAAAGCACUUAUUAAGGAUCCACAGAAAAGGCCAGGUUGUGAAGAACUGCUGAAGCAUCCCUUCAUUAAUUGUACAUUAGACUCAAAACCCGUCCGUGAUUUAUUAUUAGAGUACAAAGCGGAAGUCGUGGAAGAAGAUCUUACUGAUGACGAUCCAGAGGACAACCGAACGUCUCAAGUACCUCUGGAUAUCGAAGAUGAUUCUACAUCUGUAAAAAGCAACGAAGUUGAUAAUAAAGUUCCUGAACCCGUCCAACCAUCUCCAAUACCAGCACAACCUGAAACAGCUACCCAGAAAGAAAAGGAAGCAAAGAAACCAACAACUGCGGAAGAAGAUCGGCCUAAAGCAGCUACUCCAGCUGUUGUGGCAGCAACACAAAAUGAGAAAAAACAAGUUGACAAAAAAGAAGACAACCAAAGAAAACCAUCGCGCGACAAGGGUAAAGCUCCACCACCUCCACCGCUUCAAACUCAACAGUCCACCAGCUCAACCUCAUCGGAUAAAAGCUCACCUCUUCCCGAAAAAGAGAAAGAAAAAUCACCAGCACCGCCCCCACCUCCAAUUCCAGUCGCAUUUCCAACUCUUCCAACACCGCCAUCGUCUCCCAUCACGCCGCCUGAUACACCGCCCGAUGCUAGUCCGCCUCGUGUCCAAGACUUCCCCCCACCACGUGUUCAAGAAGAGGUCAAACCUAGCGAUAGUCCUAUACCGCAGCCAUCCACCUCUGAGGAACCUGCUCCUAGUAAAAUCUUUGAGAAACAACGGUCUGUAGAGAAGGAAAAAGUCGAUGAAAUUGACACAACCAAACCAAAAGAAGAUACAGUCGUGAAUGUAGAAGAAGACAAAAAAGAAUCUACAGUUAACGUCGCUGAAAUCAAAAAAGCUUUAGAAAAUCAUAUAAGUAAACGGUUUUCCAAGGAAAAAAUAGAACAAUCUGCUUCGUUAGAUAAUGAUACUAAAGUAGAAGAUGUGCCUUCGGACAAGAUGGGAGAUAUUGUUACCGUUACUAGCUCCAAUGCUACUACACCCGACGAUAGCUUAAACCUUAUCAUGGUGUCCACUCCGCAGUCCGAAAGAAACAAAAAUACCUCCACAAUCACUAUUAACUCCAAUUUGCCAGAUACGUCGAAUAGUUUAGCUUCAAAUAUUAGUCAGGUAACGGUGGUAACGACACAUCCGCCUGUCAUAAUCGACAAUUCUCUUCCUCCCAGAGCUUCCUCGUCGUCUCCCAGCAAUAACAGUACAAGCGAAGUAGUGAUCGUAGCCAACGAAACCAACAAGACCCACAUAGAGUCUUCUGACGACGAGUUUUGUCCUUCGUUGGAUUCGCUGGAAUAUCCCCCUCCUUCAGAAUUCAGAGACAAGCCGCUCAAAGCGAAGAAACUGGACGAAAGUGAGGUUAUGAUUACUGAUUCUAGUUACGUCAUUAACGAUUCUGGUUUAGAUGUGUCUGAAAACAAUUCCAGGUUGUUGGACACCAGCCACGUGUCGGUAGUGAAGAUAGACGAAGAAAAAGUUCAGGUGAAAGAUUCGACGUCUUAUCUGAGCGACAAAUCCACCGAUUAUCGAGGAUCGACGAGCGAUUUAUCGAAUACUUCGUCGGGGAAAACGAGUAGUACGAAAAGCGAGUAUGGAGAUGAAUUUAAAGGUACUCACAUCAUUUUGGAGGGUUCCAACGUCGAGAAACUCGACGGUAAACCUAAGAUGAACGGACAAGUUGUCAAUGCUAGCAGCAAGGAAGAUAUUUAUAAGAAACCUUUCAAUGGGAAAUUGUAUGCAGAGAGUUUUGAGUCAGCAAUGUCAGAUAGGUCUCAUAGUGACUGUGGAUCAGUACGAAGCAACGAUUCCCAUAGGAGACCCAUUUCCGGAGCCAGCAAAAGUAUUGAACAAUCUGAUAUUGAAAGUAUCUCUUUAGCUAGUCAAGAAAGUAGGGGAAGCACUGAGAAGGACGAAAAACGGUUCUUAUCAAAUGAUAUCGAGGAUAACGAUGACGCUGCAGUCGUGUUACGAAAGCCUCCGAAAACCAAGUUAGAAACAAUAGCAAUGCAAAAUCGAAAGACGAGAAAAAGAACUAGAAAAUUCGUAAUAGACGGAGUGCUAAUAACGACCACUACAAGCAAAGUAAUAUACGGUGACGAAGAUAACUACAAUCUGAGCGAUCCGCACAGCGACAGAAAACAAGAACUCAGAGAACUAAAGUACUUGCAAAAGCAAGAGCAAAAACAGUUCCAGGACCUUGCCACUAAAGAACAAAUAGCCAUAGAACAACAGGAUAGAAAGUUUGAACAGGAACGACAGAAUUUAGAAAGAACGUACGAAAAUGACUUAGAAAUGCUCAGUCGACAACAGAGGUUGCUCAUAGAGAGAGCUGAAGCGCACCAGGACGCUGAUCUUCGAGCUACCUCUAAGAAAAUUCGCGCAGAACAGGAGAGAGAAUUAAAACAAUUUAGGGAAACCCUUAAAGCCGAACUUAGGUUACUUAAAUACGAGAUAGAUUUACUCCCGAAAGAACGACGCAAAAACGAGUUUAAAGUUAAGAAAGAUAAACUAGACGCAGAGCAUCUCGAGAGGGAGAAAUCGUUCCUAGAGAAAUUAAACGAGAACCAUGAGACUUCUUUGAGAAGGCUCAGUGAUUCGCAUAGGGAGAAAAUUGCUCUGAUGGAGAGGCAGUUCUUGCAACAGAAACAUCAGUUGACUAGAACGAGGGAAGCGGCUCUUUGGGAGUUGGAAGAGAAGCAUAUACAUGAAAAACACCAGCUCAUCAAGAGGCAGAUUAAGGAAAUUUUCAUACUACAGAGGCAUCAAAUGUUAACCAGGCAUGAGAAAGAGAAGGAGCAAAUAAAGAGGAGAGCGGCGAGGAAGGAAGAGGAAUUGCUUAAGAAGCAGCAAAUAGAAAGGAGGUCGUUACCAAAGAGGAUACGGGCGGAAAUGAAAGCCAGGGAAGCCAUGUUUAGGGAGUCAAUGAGGAUAUCUAUUUCCGGAGCUGGUGAUCCUGACUUAGAAAAGAAUAGGUUUAAAGAGUUUCAAGAGAAGGAGAAAAAACGUUACCAAGCCGAGCAACAACGUUUCGAACUGAAACACCAACGCCAGCUCGAGGAACUGAGGGCCAUGAGCGACGCGACCAUCAAAGAGCUCGAGCAGCUCCAAAACGAGAAGCGGAAGAUGCUCCUCGAGCACGAACAUCUCAAAUUGAAGCAACGGGAGGAGGCUUUCAGCGUGGAGUUGAGAGAGUGGAAGGCGAAGUUGAAGCCCAGGAAACAGAAACUCGAGGAAGACAUAUACAAAGAGAUAUGUUCGGCGAAAUAUAUCAAUGUCCUCCCGAAAAUCUUUCUCCCGGAAUCUGGCUCAUCGUCGACAGAUAACGUACCGGACAGCUCUAGACCAAGUCUGGUUGACGAUAAGACUCCAUCGUCAGUACCAUCGAGCCCUUUCAUAACAGAAAGCCCCAGGCCCAGUUGGGGCCAUCAGAGGACGUGGAGCACUGGGAUCAUAUCGGAAAAGAACUUUGCUUUUCGUUCGCAGUCUUCGAAAGACGAUUCCGCAGCUUAGUCGUGUAUUGUCUAUAACCCUCGUUUGGUUUGUUUCUUUUUCGUUCUUGCUCGGUAGCAGUUUUUGCCUAAGAAAGAAGUUAGAGAGACACUUGGAAACGUACUAUGGAUUAAUUUUUAGUUUUAGUUGAUCAAAUUUGAAUUAUACUUUUGAAUUUAUUAUUAAAAUAAUACGAGUACCUGAAAAUUAUAUAUUUUAUUAAAUCUUAGGAGAAUUUAUAUAUUUUUUAUUGAUAAUAAAGAAAUAUAGCAGUGUAGGCUGCUAUGUGUGAACAUUGCGUUAUACAAAGAGAUUAUCGAUUUUUAUAGAGGCUGGUCUUGCGAUGUAUUUAAAAACACCUGAUGUUUACACUGAGGAUCAAAUCCGGAGUCCCAAGUGGCCACCAAAUUGUUACAAAUAAUUAUUUAUUUUUAGUAGUAGUAUUGAUUACACAUACUUGCCUAGUGAACCAAUUCCUUAAUGGUAUAAUGCUUUCUAACCAUUUUAUCCUUUUCGAGAACUAAUAUUGGUCGAGAUUUCGAAACUUGUGUGAAGAUUAGGCUAUGGUAUCGGCGUUCAUGAUAAAACUGGGCAUUAGAGAUUUUUUUCUGUCCGAAAUAUGGGAAGAGGAAUAGCCACACGUGACUGGAGAAGACAUUUUGCCUUCUUGUGAGUGGAUGCGUUAUAGAAUUUUUUGUUAGAAAACUAGGGCGUUUUUUCUAAAAUCUGCAUCAAAAUAGCAAUCUGACGCAAAAGCAAGUUUGAAAUUUCAAUUCAGUGGAUCUGAUAGGCCACGAAACUGCUAUAGCCCCUAGGCCAUGUGUAUAUACAUGAGAACUUACAGUAACAUUAAAAUAUACGAAAACGGAAUCUAAGAAAUAUGAGGGAAACAGAUAAGAAGAUAAUGAUAACACAAAAAAAAACUCAUGUGACCACUGUAAUUUUGUAAGAAGACAACACAAUAGGAAAACUUUUAGAACAAUAUGGCGUACGAGAUCUAGUCAUGUAACACGGACAAUGGCACAGUCAACUAAGAAAUACAGAUUGGAUCGCGACGAUUAAUUUUUUUCAACUAACGUAAGGACUGAAUGUGUAGCCCCAUGUUGGGCGCCGAUGUUUAACGUUUCUAGAAAUCGAGAGAACCGCGACAGUGGCACAUUCAAUUAAGAAAUGUUGUUUGUACCGCAUUGAAUAAAACAGAAAAGUAAAUCUAACGAUGUAAGUACUAACUAUUGUAGGUACCACAAAAAUGGACCCGAUAUAUCCAAGUAUUCAUACUGCUCUAAAUCAAAAUAAUCUGACCACAAAGCUUAGGACGCUCCAAUUAUAAAAUAUCAAAUAAGUAAAGGCACCACAAAAUAAUAGUAAAGCGCUACAAGAGUUUUAGCUUUUUGGCUAUGUUAUUUCUUAUGAGGAAAGUAAAACAAUGCAACACUAUUCUGCGUAUUUUGCAAAGAGGUAUAUAUUAACAUAGAGUGAGCCUACCCUCCUCGCUUCUUGACGACAAGAUCUCAUGGACUAGUUUGCGGUAUCUCUUUCUAGCACAUUGUAUCGAGAAACUAAGAUGACAUUAAGUGUGAGUAUAGGCACGGAAGGGGAGGACAACUGUCGCAGCUUUACUAUGCGUAAGAGUGGAACAGCACUAAGUCAAAUAAAAAAGAUGGUGUCGUCACUUCGCUCUGAAUGACACUCUGUCUAUGAUAAUAUAUGUCUAUGGUAUUUUGACGCUUUUCAAGGUUAUGUGUCAAUGUCAAAUGUCACACCUCUUGUCAAAUAUGAUAUUUGACGUCAACAUAUCGAGUAAAUGAAACAUUUUACGCGAUAUCCAUUCAUUUGUAUGUGCAAACGUGUAAUAUUCAUGCACGACCUUGAAAAUCAUAAAAAAUGAGCCUAAUGGAACAUUUCGUAAUCUUUGUGAUGAAAAAUUGCCAAAUAGUUAUAGUCUUGUAGCCUCUUUAAUAAUAAGAAAAAACUCGUGGUUAGACUUACUUUUGUGACGUCAAAUGGUACCAAUUUAUCUACCGGGUGGUGAAUCGUAAAACAGGCCAUAGGAAAUUCAAUGUAAAAUUCUAAACUGCUAAAUUCCUGCUUCCCUAAUUAUUUUACAUCAAAAGUCAUGAGAGAAUAUUUGUAGAGGAUUGAAAUCUGUAUUAAAGUCAAAAGUUAAAAUUGUUCUACGAUUUAAACGCAUUCCAAAAUUUUGAAAAAUAUAAUACAUUUGCCACAGUAGGUAUGUGUGUAAAAGUUAGGCCACACGUUACUAUUUAACUGACAGUGCUCACACCAUUGACUAAAUAAAAAUCUUUAUUAUUAAUACUUUUUCCGCAACUGAGGGUAUCUUAUCAACUGUAUUGUUUUUAAACAAUAAAUGGUAAAAUAAAAAUAUCGACAGUUAAAAAAUGUGAAAAUAGUAACUUCAUUGUGACACAUUAUUGCACUGUGUGUGCCCUAAUUUUGGGCUGAAAAACUGAAAAAUGUAUUACAUUUUUACAAAAUUUCGGAAUAUGUUUAAUUCGUAGAACAAUUUUAACAGUUGUUUUCAAUACAGAUUUCAAUCCUCUACAAAUAGUUUCUAAUGUCUUUUGAUGUAAAUUAAUUAGGGAAGCAGGAAUUCAGCAGUUUCCAAUUCACCACCCGGUAUACUAUCACGAUAGCCUAACCACGAACUUUUUUCUUGUUUUUUUUUAUAUCGAUUCGUUUAGAUACCGAGAAAUGUGUUGAGGUAGGUAUAACUGGUAUCACGGCAUAUAAGUCUCAAACAAAUAAAACGAAUUUGACUAGAAAUACAGUACAUAAUCAUCCUAAAAUAACCAUAUUAUCAGUAAAAAUAGUUAUUUAAAAAAUAAAUUUCAUAAAUCCUUCCAUGUUCUUUCUAACUUCCGCAAAUAAAAUAACGAAAGCAAUAUUACGCCAACUUAGACUUAAAUUCAGUUGUUUCUCGACAAUUUUUCGCGUUCGCGUCUAAAAAAAGCAAACCACUAUUUCUUCCAAUGUCUGUGUCGUUUUAUUUUCCCCAUUUGUGUUUGUCUUGUUUAUUUAUUUUUUUGUUUUGCUUUAACCUACUCCUUCGCUUCUCGACAAUGGUUUUGUGGCCAUUUUAACAGAAACUGGAAGAAGCAUUCGCCCAACAAUUGGAAGAGCAAGAGAGAAUCUACGGUCCAAUAACGCCCUUAGCUUUGCCCUCAGAUCUACCGGAGUUCAACUCCGGCUCAAAGAGAAACAGUUUUUCGUCGGAUGGAUAGAUAAGUUUUGAUUUAUGUGCAUUAUUCGUCGUACCGCAUUGGAUAAAUAGUUAAAGUGCCUGUUAAAUAGACGUUAGGAAACAAUUUUAUCUAUCGUUUGUAUGAAUGAGAUUACAAUCAGUAAAAAAUUAUGGACUAUUAUCAUUUUUAUACAAUAUUAAUCGAGUAAAGGUUGAUACGUCUUCUUCGGGUUAUAUGAGGGCGAUUCCAAAGUAAUCUGACAAGUUGUUGUGAGUAAUUCUUCAUGCAGUUUUAUGACAAAAAGGUUCUAGAAAGUAUCGUGGUGAUUCUACAAAGAUACACCAUACUGAAGUCUUCCAAGAUUAUUUCUUCAGAAGUUGUUUCAAUGCUUUUUGUGUUCUGUUGUUGGUGUAUAAUUAUUCUUCUACUAUUUCUUGUCACUCAGCUGUAAAGAGACUUCCUUUUCUUCCUAUUAAUUUCCACAAGAAAACGCUAAGACCCAUUCUACUCAUGUUUUGAUCUUCUUAAGGUCAAGAUCGAACACUAUAUAGGAUGAGAGUCCAUUUAAAUGGGAUUUAGGGUAAAGUUUUGACAUAAUACGUAAGGUUUGACUUGAAAAGAGUCGUGAAAAGUGACGUUUAGCCCGAAACGUGACAUUUUACAUCAGUCAUUAUGUCACAAACUCACUUGCCAUUCCAAAACUUCAUGUUUUGUGUGAAACGUUACGUUUCGUGCCAAAUGUCAUGUUUUACAUGUCAAACGUCAUCUUUGGCUACACGUUUUACGUUAAAACGCCAUGUAUUAUGUUAAAACGUUCCUCCCCACUUUCCAACGAAUCCUCAUCCUGUUUGCCAUUCAAGCAGAACAUUGAAAUGAUAAAAAAAGAAGCAUAUCAGAGUUUCUUAAAGUUUUCUUAUGGAAUUUAACAUGGUAAUGAGGCUAUCCUCUUGCAGCUUAAAUACUGGCCGUCAAGGACCGGCUUUGUAUGGAACUUAAGUUAAUUGUUACGAUUGAUUUCACUGUAUACCCUCAUUUAAUCAUUUUGGUUGUAAAAUUUCUGAAAAGGCGACAUUGGUGCGCAUACAUGAAGCAUUCCCUGCUGGUAUUGGGUUGGUACGUUUUUCACUUUAUGUGAUUUUUCUUUUCGCUACACAGCCGAAUUCCUUUACUGGAUCAAUAAAAAAUUAGACAUACUUGUUAUAUAGAUAUAGUAAGAUUACGUCUUCAUCAUCAUUAUUGGGAUGAAAGUAAUACAUGUUAUGUUAGAUGUUCAAAAUUUGCACCUAAAACUCUAAUUAACUAGUUUUGAAGGGAAGUAAGAAACAAUUUUACUAAAAAAAUGAUUUUAUUAACGUUUCGACGCCCACAUCGGGUGUCGUUGUCAAAAUACAUAAAAUUUUAAUGAAUUAAACAAAAAUGUUGUUGCUUAGUAAAAGAAUUCUUCUGAUAAUUUAUUUAAUCUGACUCAUUUAUAUCGGUAAUUCAGACAUAUAUUAUACAUUUUAGUUGCGUUCCUGGGACGACUGUAUUGAAAGAUAGUUCAUUCGAUUACAUGAAAUCAACCCCAACUCAAGAAUAUCCGUCACAAAAGAAAAUCAUAACAUGUUUAUAAAUAAGGAAUUGUCAAGAUUGGAUCGAAUGGAACAGAACAACUUAGAACGGGAUCCUAUAGCAUUCACAAGAAAUAAUACGAGGAAAAUAUCAAUACCAUAAUAUAAAAGGACUAUCCGAGAAACUUAAAACAAUAGGAAAUAAAUUCAACAUUUCAACAACAUUCAAAACAACAAACACGUUGAGAUCUAUUCUAUCUAAAACUAAACCUAACAGUGAACAAGAAUGAACAAAGAAUUGUAUUUAUAAAAUACCUUGUGAAUGCGAACAAUUUUAUUUAGGUGAAACAUCAAGACCAUAAACGUUAGAAUAAGUGAACAUCAGUCUUAUAUUAAAAAUAGAUAAUUUGAUAGAUCUCAAAUAUGUCAACACGCAUGGGAUAAUGAGCAUAGAGUUCAGUGGAAAGAUUUAAGUAUAGUCUUGAAAGAAACAGAUAGUAAAAAAGAGAAAAAUCAAAGAAGCGGCUUUAAUUAUGCUAAAUGAAACCAAUUGUGUCGCAAAUUUCUCGGUAGAAUUCAGUAGGAUGUGGUUACCCAUACUAAAAUAGGAAGUCAAUAGAAAGAAAAUACCAGGAUUAGUAAGUCAAUAACAUAUCGAGUUAAUACAUAUUUUAAGUUUUAGUAUUGUUUAUAUAUCUAUGUUGUGGUUGUUGUAUUGAACCACGUACGUAGAUUUUUCAACAAUAAAGUCCAUGUAAACUUUUCCCUGUAAAAUUAGUUGCAGCAAUCCUUAUCUCUUUCUCAGCUCUUUCUCUUUUUUUAUUCUUAAUAAAACGUCAUGAUUAGUAACGUAGUCGGUAUAAAUAUCUUCAGGAUUCGACGAAAAGCCACAUUUCGAAAGUUUCAAUUUUCUUAUAGAUAUCGUCUGUGAGAGUCCACGACUCAACUCCGUACAACAGUCCAACACGAUGGACAGACCAAGUUAAGAAUGAGGAAAGUGAAAAAAGAAGUAUAUUAGACCAAGUAAAGACUCUGGUGGGAAAAUUCCUACAUGAAGCCGUCUAUCUGGUCUAGGAUCUUAGCCAAUGUAGCAGGGAUCCAAAAUAAGGCAGAAAAUUAGGAAGUAUAGGAUAAGAUUGAUAAGAUACCCAGAAAGAGAUGGGUAAAUGCAGUUUAGACAGAUUUGAAGCAGAAAUUGGAAUAGAAGACACCUUUAUAAAGAACAAAAAUAAUGCCAAUUUGUAACCCAAGACUCUGGGUAUUAUGAUUGAGAGGGAGUAAAAAGUAAAAGUUGAGGUAGAAGUAGAAGAGGGAAGUUAUUGAAGAUAUUAAUUGAGAAGGGCUUAGCUCAGAAGAACCAAUUAAAGCUGUUGGAGAGACACAUACUCUCAAGUGCGGAUUCGGGCUAGCUUUAUUACACUGAAUAUUGGCUUUGAAAUAUGAAAACAAAGAUAUUGGAUAAUGAUAUGAUAUAAACAAGGAAGAAAAUAAGACCUUUUUUAAUACAAAACUCAAUGCGACAAAAUGAGACCACUGAAAAUAAAAAGGAUAUGAAAAGUACGAUAAGUAAAGAAGAAGAAGUUGGGCGCCAACUCGAGACAGAAGUACGAGAAAUUUGCUCGAGGUUUUUUUUGAAGUAAUGAACGACAAGAAAUAAACUAAAUAAAUCUAAACGGGAACUGGUGUAUGUUUUCCCGUUUAGAUUUAUAUAGAAGUGUGUACAAGUCAAACAGUCUUUUUCUAUUAACUAAAUAAAUGACAAUUGAGACGAUAACCUGAAACACCAAGAAAUAACUACUUACUUCCAAUGAUGUUAUAUACUGUUAGUAAGAACUGAAAUAAAAAUAAAUAUACGAGUUAUUCAAGACAAAAUAGGUGGCAAAAAUAUUCCGUCUUUGUGUAUUUCUUCGAUUUGAGUGACAAAAUUCAGUGUUCGCAUCGUCUGUUUUCUCGUUUCUUGAAAUUUUUUCUGGUAUUUUUAAAAAGCAAAGAUUAUAAAAAUAUGCAAGUAGAAAAUACUCAAUUUUUCUUUUUUAAACAGUAAUCGGUGGAUGAUUGAAGAGGGUGACGACAAUAAUUGUGUCAUUGCUCUCUUAUAGACCAAGAGGCAGCGCUGAAAAAUCUCUCUGAAUUUACUAAAGCUAGAUUUUUAAUAAUUUAUUACUGUGAGUGUGUAGAGAAAUAUACUUUGGUCGGUCAAGGGAAACGUAGAACAGGGGUUACUGAGAGGGUAUCAAAGUUGCUUUCCUACGAAGGUAAUUAUUUCCAUUUACUAAGGCUGCAAAUCGGUACACAUUCUAAAUUAAAUAUAAAUAAAAGUUAUUAUAGUCGGUCAGCUGUAUGACGGGACAGAGCCGGUCGGUCGGCCCCAAUAGUCGAUUGAGGAAAUGAAACAUUUUGGCUCACAAUUUUUUCGUUCAGCAUGGAUUUACUUGAAAUUUUCAUAGAAGGUAGGGAAUAGUCCAAGGAUCAUUUUCUAUAUCAUGCCGCUGUCAUACGCUAAAACGUUGGGGGUGGUUGCCACCCCAUCUCGGGAGUGGGAAUUUUUUAUUACAUUUUGACCAUGUAAUUCGAUGGUAAAAUUAAUUCUAAGAAAAAAAUGUUUUUUUACAUUUUCUUCGUAAAACUAAUGUUAUUCGAGCUAUUCGCGCUUGAAAAUAACUUUCGACGAAAAAAUCGACUUUUUUAGAGGGUUUUUUUGAGAAUACCUCGAAAAAUAUGCAUUUAAUCAAAAAAAACUGUAGAUAUCGAAAUUGUAUCUUUUACUAACACAUACCAAACUCUUUUCCUAUAAUAUCUUUAAGACCAAUACAAACCGAGAUACGGCAUGUUAGCUUUUUUCGUCAAAUUCAUAAUUUGAAAUAUUCAAAACCAAAUAAUGGGAAAAAUUUGCAUUUUUCGAGGAAAACUGAAAUAAUCUUUUUUCAAGUAUACAAUUAGUCAUUAAAAAAAAUAAUAAAAAGUUUCUAGCAUGAAAAUUAAGCGACUUAUAAUCAAAAAAAUGUCAGUACCUGCUUUUCUCUACGAAACAAUCAGUGAAAACAACCCCCUAAGUACGAUCCUAAUUUAAAAUUGGUCUUCACCGUUCUGUAGUUCUUUUUAUAUUUAUAUUAUCAAUACACUCAAGGAGUUUGACCUAUUUAAAAUGCCUAAUUUUGGAAAAAUUGGAGUUUAAAGAAAAAUUGAUUUUUUGCAAUUAAUUUGGUAUUUUUCACCUUUUAUUUCAAAGUAUCUCCGAAAAUACUGAAGACACGAAAAAAAUUAUAAACUACUAAAUUGUAGCUUUUUUAACCUUCGGAUGACCAAGCGGGGGAAAUUGUGACCCCAGCGUAUGUUUUUCUUUAAUAAAUUCAAAAGUAUUUUUAAUUUUUAACUCAUUAUUUUUUUAUUUGACUUUAAUAUCAUUCUAAAUAUCCUCAUAUUUUGAAAUAAAAAAAAUUCCCUAUAUUUUACGAAUAAAAAAUAUAUUCUGAAGUUGAUGUUUAGUAAAAUAGCGUCUAUUAUGUGUAAUUACAAGUAGUUUUACGCUAAUGACGUCGACUUUGCAAAGUAAUAAGACACUUACUCAACAUACACACUACACAUGACACUAAUACUCAUUUUGUGACUGGCUGAAUGACAUAAAGUCCAUGCCAAAAAAAAUUAAAAAUUUAAAAAAAACUUUAUUUUUUUGUUAUUUGUCAUUUUUGACCUGGGUCAUUCCCCCCCCCCCUUGGUCAUCCGUGUAACAAAAAAAGGUUGGUCAUCGGAAGGUUAAUGACUAAAAUUACCCUGUGCAUAGAUUUUCAUUACAGUGAAUAGUUAGCCAGAUAUAGCUGUUUAAAACCUCUAUUUACCAGCAAACACCUCCUUAUUCGAGUCCUUUAAACCCGCACCAAUUAAAAACUAAGGGAUCUUACGGAAUUUAAUUUACUCAGUCUUAUAGCUCUUUAAAAAUCCUACAAAAUCAUUUUUGAAGAAACUUUUUAUCGCCAAAAAUAUAUAGAAUAUUUUUUGAGGUAUAUAUUCUCAAAAAAACCCUCUAAAAAGUCGAUUUUUUCGUCGAAAAACUGUUAUUUUCAAGCGCGAAUAACUCGAAAAAUAUUAGUUUUACGAAGAAAAUGUAAAAAACAUUUUUUUCUUAGAAUCACUUUUUCCAUCGAAUUACAUGGUUAAAAUUUAAUAAAAAAUUCUCACCCCCCGAGAUGGGGUGGCAAUCACCCCCAAGGUUUUGAUACUUGGACUAUUCCCUACCUUUUGUGAAAAUUUCAAGUAAAUCCAUGCUGGACGAAAAAAUUGCGAGCCAAAAUGCUUCAUUUCCUCAAUCGACUAUUGGGGCCGACCGACCGGCUCUGUCCCGUCAUACAGCUGACUGACUGUAAUAACUUUUAUUUAUAUUUAAUUUAGAAUGUGUGUACUGAUUUUCAGCCUUAGUAAAUGGAAAUAAUUACCUUCGUAGCAAAGCAACUUUGAUACCCUCUCAGUAACCCUUGUUCUACGUUUCGCUUGACCGACCGUAGUAUGUUUCUCUACACACUCACAGUAAUGAACUGUGAAAAAUCUAGCUUUAGUAAAUUCAAAGAGAUUUUUCAGCGCUGCCUCUCCGUCUAUUAGGGACAUAGCAGGUAAAGUUGACACCAUCUAUCUAUCGCCCGUCGGCAAAUUCAAACAAAAAUAUAACUCCAGACCAUAUUUUACCACCUUUAGUCCAGACAAAUUAAUAUAUGUAUUUAAUAUAUUUUUACCACCAAAAAUGAGAUGUUUUAAUCAAAUAUUGCUUCAAAUAUAAUCUGCAGAAUAAUUUUGAAUCACGUUCUGCUAAUGAACUUGCUGUUUUGUCCUUAAAAGUAGAAAAAAGUUUCAAUUCUAUUGCUUAAUAUUUCAUCUAAAUAUAAUCGUCUAACAAUUUUAACUGUACUAAUGCCCAAGUAUACAUUUUCAAGUGUUUCAACUGAUUGAUUUAUGAUUUACAAUGAGUAACCCGGUUGUAAAAAUACCGGCGUGUGCCUUAUCACAAAGGGACAUCGGUUUACUCGAAUUUCAUAACAAUACAAAUGUUAUCUGUUUGAAUUUGCCGACGGGCGAAAUAUCUAUGGACCCGACUUUACAUGGGAAAAGAUAGUAAUCUUCAUGCCUACAACAACUCUGUCAUAAAACAGCUGAAAGAAUUAUCUACCGCAAUACUCCAUAUUACUGUCGGAGACGCCCCGUAUAAAAAGGUCUUGUACAUACAUGUUAAAAUAUAUAGUCACUCUUAUAAACAUGUUUUGCAGAUAGGAAUGUAAAUAUGAUUUUAUACAGACUGAGUAUUUUAAACAAUUUGUUGUUACUGUCGCGAAAUGGAUUGUAAAUGUUAUUAAAAAGAUAAAUCGAAAUACAUGAUACUACUUAUGUUUAUAUAUCUGAAAAGUAAUAUUUUCUUAUUAGGCUUACAAUAAAAUAUGGUUAAUUUUUAUUAGAAUAUGCUUUGAUUGUGAUUUAACCCCCUAAAGAGUGUAAAAAUAUUUUUAUUGAUUUAACAAACAUUAUAUAGGUGUUCAAAUGUAUUCACACUACAAGUUCCAAAGAAAGAACAAGGUUCGCCUUAUAUUUAUUCGAGAUAGAGAAAGUCACUUUUUGUUCAUACCUAAUGCCCAGUCUAUCUGUGAACAUUUUUUCGAAAAAUCUUAUACAGCUUUUUGAAGGUUCUAUAAAGUAUAUGAGAGAUAGUUAAUGAAAAUUUUUUGAAGAUUUUCAAGCUUUGUUUUUUUUAACAAUCAUAAAAAUUGAAAAACAUCUAUUUUGCCUAUAAAACGUUUAUUAUAUAUUCUAGAAAAAAAGAAUGUGUGUACUUUGUACGCACGUAAGAAGUUAUACUUCUAUUAUAUGUUUUCAACGGAAUCAAUAUACUUUAAACAGUGUAUUUAUAUUUAAUUUUAAUACUUACUACUUUCCAAAAUUUUUUAUUAAAACAAUACCAAAAAUUAAGAAAAUAAAAGAAUAAAACACGCACACAAACACAUUGAAAAAUGCCACAAAGAAAUGAUUUCUGAACAAUAAUUGUUGCCAAAAAUUUUAACUAAAUACGUAUUUUCUGAAAAAAUUUUAUAUAAUAAUAUACUUACAAUCAUAAAAUUUAUAAAAAAAAAUAACAAAAUAGUAAUUUGCAUUGGGGAUCGAAAGUGCUUUCCCAUGGCGCCACCUUCGCGUAUCUGUCUUGUGGGAAUAUACACCAACUGAACGUUUACACCAUAAACUUUUGACAGUUGUUUAUUACUUAUAUGAAUUUAAUCAAAUUAGUUUGAUUUUUGUGGAAUUAAAGGAAUAUUUUGUGGAAUAACAAUAUAUUAGGUGAAUAUUGGUAAAAAUUUUGAUGCUAAUCAAAUUAUGUAAAUCAAAGCAUUACCUACUAUUUUGGUAGGUUCAUUUUAAAUUUUCUAAAUAGGUAGGUACCUAUGUAAUUUUUUAUUAGGAUACUGAAACAUUUACAAUUAAUUACGUACCUGUCGCCUUUAAAAACUAUUUAAAAAGUCACUACAAUUAUAAACUUGCUAUUUUCUCUGCCAUCACAACAAUAAAAACUAAUAUACACAACAUUUUUGGUUAUCCAUAAUCUCCAUAUUGAACAAUUAUUGACAGAUGAUUUUAACACCCAAUCAGAUCCCGUAUAACGUUUGAGCGACUAAUAACAUAUUGUCGGUGUGCCCGGGAAAAUAAAAAUUCACCCUCGUGCCUAAAGAAGUAUAACUUCAAAAAUGUUCAAAUAAAAGUUGUAGAUCUUAAAAAGUUCUUUAACUUGCAGAAAUAAGACAUUUUCACCUUUUAUGAGUAUUUAAAAAAAUCCAAGCAAAUUGAGCUAUACGUCUUAAGGAUUCUUUGUUUACUUUUGGAAAUGUGUUGUGUGAAUACUUUUUCGUAAAUUUUCAAAAAGAUCAACUUUUCUAUUCAUCUUCUACGAUUGUGAAAGUACCUAAAUAAAUGUUAUAAACAAAAAGUCAAACAAUUAGGCGUACACGUCAUAGAAUUAAUGCACCGCACCGGUACAAACUUGACGGCAAACAAAUUUUUCCCCAUAUAUUAGUUUUUUUGCUACCGUUAAGUUUAGCAGGAAAGCGCUGUUGCCAAAUAAGAACAUAUAUGUAUUUACAUACCAUAGCAACUACCGGCUACACUGUUUCCCUUUGUCUUUAAGACUGUGAAACAAAGAUAACUAUCUGUAAUAUAACUGUCAAAGUUAUGUUGUCCUAUAGAAGGUUAUGUAUGACUUUUGUUUGAUUAUUUUUCUUCUUUUAUGGCCUUUGGGAGAUGUGCCCAUUUAGCCCACAACAUUUCUUAAAAUUAACACCUAACUAAACCUACUAUACAAAAAAUUUAUUACGAACCUAAUCGACCAAUCAAGGCUAGGGAAGGGAAAGUGAAGAUGGUUAAAAAAUAAACUGUCGUUAAAACAUAAACUAAAUAAAUAACAUAUAAUUUGGAAACAAUAAUUUGACAUUAUAUUUAACCUCCAAUAUUAUGACAGACGUCAGUUGCCAUUUACAAUCUCACCAGAUAUAAUAAUGACAUCAUGUUAUAAACUCGUCACUAAUUCUAGCCAAUGAAAUGCUCGCUAAUAGAAAAAUUUAAAUGCUCGAGAAAAUUACGUGCAUUCCUUAUUGUUUGACUUUUCCUAUAGAUACAUAUAAACAGUUUUGUGCUGAUAGAAACGCAAAAACUAAAGUCGACCACCUUUAGGACUGUGUAAUGUUAAAUAAUGCUCCCAACUAGAUUGCGAUGUUGCCACGCAAUUCAAAAAGUCCUGGAACGUAAUGAUAAUAAAUCGUCGUAUGUCUUGUUGUGAAGUGAAAUAUUACUUUUACUCUUACCUAUUCUUUCUGAAUGCUCAGUAAGGUCUAUCGUUUCGUGGGAAAUCAGGAAUUUUGUUAUCGUUCAUAGAACAUAAUAUACUUGUUUGGAAAUAAAUUGUUAGAAAAAGAUUUCUAGUAAAGUAGGAUUUUUAUUUACUAUUUUUCUCAAGAGCAACGAGGAACCGACUGAAAUUAUAUGUCUGUACCAAUUGUUCAAGUUGCAUUUAAAAAAUGAACCGAGUUGAUUGCAUAAUUGAUUAAAGUUUGAAUAUUUGUAGGUCUUGUUUAGAUAUUUUUAAUUUAAUUGCAAUGUACAGAGUAUUAAUAUUAUUGAAAAUUAUUUAUUUUGGAAUAAGAACUUACAAAAAAAUCUCAACACCAAUUGCUUAUUUCGUUAUAUACUUCUUUGAUGUGUUUAAAAACUAAAAUAAAAAAAUAAGUUUCUAUUGGGAUUCGAACCAGCUUAUCAGCGCAGUUAAUAAGUAAAUGCGAAAAUAUAGACAAAUAGAAAGUUAAAUCAUUUAUCUUGUAUAAAACUGGCCGUGUUUGAAGACCAGGCAGACAGUCAAUACUUGAAAUCUACUCUUUUCAGUUUUUAAACAAUCCAUAUUGCGUUAAUUACUGAAUUAGGCGUAUACCACUGUAAAUGGCAACAUUGCAAUGCAAUUAUUUCGUCUUCCACGUCGCAAACUGCGUAAUGGUGUAGUUGGAGUCCAGCGUAGUUGCCACGUUUCUAUUUUAUGUAAUACUAUAUGCCUAAUACAAAAAUUAACGCACUUCUAUAAGGUAUAAAUCUACUUAAAUUAACUGCAUUCUUACACUAUGGAAAUUUGAAACAAACGUAUUACUUUCUACUUAACAUUUAUGGCAAACUACUAUAAUGUAUUUCUUAUAUCUUAUUCUUUAUUGACCGUUAUCAUGUUUACAAUUUUUUUAAACUUUUCUCUAUCGGCUGUUGCGCGAAAUAAUUCUACUGUUGAACCACACCGUUGUCUAAUAUUACGCAACCGUGAAAUUUUUUUUCGACCAGUCCAUCUCUUUCCCUCUUCUUUUCUUUGUAUUAUAAGGCGAAGUUGAUGGUGUUUAUGUCCUCUAAUUAUAUGGCCGAAGUAUUCUGUUUUUCUUCUCUUUAUGAUGUUAAAGCAGACGUUCUGAAUACAUCAUUUUGAUAAUAUCUUCAUUGGAAAUGUACAAAACCCUCGAUAUUUUAGAAUCUGUCGAUAGCACUAAUAUAAUUGUGGAAUUAUUUGAAUGCUUAUACAGUCGAACCCGCUUAUUGGAAUGGCCUUCGUGUCAAGCAAAAAUAUACUCAUAAGCGGGAUAUUCUAAUAACCGAUCAUUGGUGGCUAGCUGAAAUAAGUGUACCGAAUAUACGUUAUAAUAGUAGUACAUACUACAUAUUUCAACAUGUAUAUGCAUAUGGUUUUAGGUCUUUUUAUGUCAAUAAAAAUUUAUAAUCUAUUUACAAAAAUAAUUACGAAACGAUUAGAAAGUAAAUUGGAAUUGAGUUUUAGAAAAGACUUCCGAACAAACGAUCAACUAUUGGUAAUAAAUAAUCUUAUAGAAAAAUGCUGUUUCUUAAAACAGCCAAGUGGGUGUCAAUAUGUACCUAUAGAAAUUUGUAGAUAAAUGAAAUUAUUUUAUGACCUUGUCGGCGAACGAUUGAAUUUUCUGUGGGAAAGGAGCGUUUACUCAUAACACAGUAAUACAGAGUUUAUUAGGUACCUGACAAACUGUAAUAAUAUACAAAACAGCAGGCUUUCGAAGCUCUUAUCGACAAACCAUUAUACCAGGCAAAAUUUAAAUUUUUAAGAAAUUGUACCUAAAAAUUUAUUUGGUGACCUGAAAAAAUUAUUCUAUUAAGCGGUAUUAUUUUACUAGACCAUAUUUCAAUAAACGGAUAAAUUUAUUAAAGGGUAAAUGGAACGUUUCGGGACCUUGAAUUUAUAUUCCAUAAACCGGGAUAUUCCUAUAACCGGUACUCUAAUAAGCGGGUUCGACUGUUGUUUGUAUUAUGGUUUUUAAUGUUCAUGUUUCACAAUCUUAUAAUAGGAUAGACCACAAGAUUUCAGGACUUUCUUGCGAAUAUUUGUUUCGAAAUCUCUUCGAAUGUUGGUUUAGGUUUCUAGGUCAUAAAAGUUUCAUAGUGAUAUUUUGAUUCUGCAUAUUAUCUCUUUAUUAGAGCCACAAUUUUCUUUUAGCCUGCUGCUAAAGUAUUUAAAAUGGUUUACACGCUCUGUCUUCUCUCCAUUAGGAGAAAGGAGACCUUGAUCUAUAUUAAUCUUUCAAACUGCACUCCACUUUGUCUUUGAAAUGUCAAUUUUAAGGUCUCUCCGAUAACUUGUUUCACUGACUAGAUUUACUAGUGUCUGGAGAUCUUGAAAUUUUCUGCAAGAACGGCUGUAUCGUCAGCGUAUUUGAUAUUUUUGAUUUCUUCAGAGUAUAGAUUAAAAAGACUAGGGCAAAAGACAAUCCUUUCGUACUCCACGUUUGAUGGGCAGUUUUUCCUUCUUCUUCUUCUUAAGGUGCCGAGACCGCUUUUCGAUCGUUGGCUCUCAUCUUGCCCAGCAUAUUAACAAUCACUGUCUUAUUUACAGCCGCACGAAAUAGUUCAGUGCUAGUUUUCCCAAACCACUGGCGUAGGUUUUUAAGCCAAGAAGUUGUACGGCGGCCCACACUUCUUUUUCCCAAUAUUUUACCUUGCAUGACAAGGUGAAGGUUUUCCUUACGACUAUCUAAUUUGGAUAGAGGCUACUUGAUUGUAAUAUAAGUAUUUUAGCAGUCUUAUCGUAUUGGUCCUGCUGCCUGUAGGCAAUCGAAAAUUCUUCAGAACUCACAACGUUUUUGUAACAGAACGCGCAUACAAAAUAGUGCCUCUUCUGUUCCUAGACCAUUUCUAAAUCCAAAUUGCUGAUUACACAUUCUAAUUUUGCAUACAAAAAAUACUCGGUUUUGUAUAAUUUGAUAGCCUGCUUUUCUUUAGUAAUCUUAUAAACAGUGACUCCAACCAAUCAUCUUGUAUUUUUCCCUCGUUGUAAAUUUGGUUAAAGAAAGUAGCUAAGUAGGUAAUGUUUUCCUUGUCCAAAAGUAGCUCAACAGGGAUUUGAUCAGGCACAACCGAACUUAGCGUCGUAUAAUUUCAUUGUUCACUAAGAAAAUACAUUGUUGCCAGAUCUUUUCGUCAACCGUAAAUCAUUUUGAACAGAAUGAAUUUCUACUAGGUAGUUUAUAUAUAAAAAUAUGUUCACAGAUUCCAUCUCGCGAUAUAUUUUAAUUUUUUUUUAGUUUUCGGAAUGUUUUUUCGUUGUACGAUUUUUGACGCGACAGUCUGAUGUAUAAAAAUAUUAGAUGUGUAUUAUUUAUAACAUAGAAGUUUUAAUAUUUAAAUUUAAGGAUGUAUAUAAAAGCAUUCAUGUUAAGCUAACAAAUAUUUUGUUAAGGAGGAACAGUGUGAUACUGCGGUGUUUUUAUUCUGAUAGUUUUCUACAGUUGCUGUCACGCUGUUCUGUAUCAUAAAAUAUGUACAGUCAGUGUAUUUUAUUUUUUAUGUGCAUAUAUUAUUACCAUUAAUAUUAUUAAAAUAAAAUUAUAAAUACUU